rnacentral:misc_RNA from 1 species
UCCAACUUAUCGCUGGCAGUCUCCUGAGAGUGCACCUUUCGGUUAGCAACACAGGACAAGGGUUGCGCUCGUUGCGGGACUUAACCCAACAUCUCACGACACGAGCUGACGACAGCCAUGCACCACCUGUGAAGGUGCCCCGAAGGGAGACCGUGUUUCCACGGCUGUCACCUACAUGUCAAGCCCAGGUAAGGUUCUUCGCGUUGCGUCGAAUUGAACCACAUGCUCCGCUGCUUGUGCGGGUCCCCGUCAAUUCCUUUGAGUUUUAGCCUUGCGGCCGUACUCCCCAGGCGGGGCACUUAAUGCGUUAGCUUCGUUACUGAGAAAGCAAAUUCCCAACAACCAGUUGACAUCGUUUAGGGCGUGGACUAC